rnacentral:rRNA from 1 species
AGAGUUUGAUCAUGGCUCAGAAUAGACGCUAGCCUUUUACAUAACACAUGCUAGUUGAACGUGAAACAAAGGAAAAUUUGUUGAAAGUAGCGGACAGGUGAGUAACACGUAAGAAUUUACCAAUUAAAUGGGGCAAAUCCUCAAUAAAAUUUAAAAAUAAAGACAAAAGUCGUUAAUUGAUAAGCUUGCGGAGGAUUAGGUAGUUGGUGGGGUAAAGGCCUACCAAGCCGAUGAUCUUUAGCUGGUCUGGGAGGAUGAUCAGCCACAUUGGAACUGAGAUAAGGUCCAAGCUCCUACGGGAGGCAGCAGUGGGGAAUAUUGGACAAUGGGCGAAAGCUUGAUCCAGUAAAAAGGCGUGAAUGAAGAAGGUAAGAAGCUGUAAAGUUCUUUCAUUGAAAUGAUCUUAUAGAUAGUCUGUUAUAGGUUAAUAGCCUGUUAUAGGUUAAUAGCCCGUUAUAGGUUAACUGUAAGAUCAAAAAGAAGAAAAGACAUAAAUCAAAGAAGAAGUUCCGGCAAACUUCGUGCCAGCAGCCGCGGUAAUACGAAGGGAACUAGCGUGAUUCGGAAUGACUGGGCGUAAAGGGUGUGUAGGUG